rnacentral:rRNA from 1 species
UACGUAGGGUGCAAGCGUUGUCCGGAAUUAUUGGGCGUAAAGAGCUCGUAGGCGGUUUGUCACGUCUGCUGUGAAAACUGGAGGCUCAACCUCCAGCUUGCAGUGGGUACGGGCAGACUAGAGUGCGGUAGGGGAGAUUGGAAUUCCUGGUGUAGCAGUGAAAUGCGUAGAUAUCAGGAGGAACACCGAUGGCGAAGGCAGGUCUCUGGGCUGACACUGACGCUCAUGCACGAAAGCGUGGGGAGCAAACAGG